CAACAAGUUGUGACAUCGUGACAUGGGUUACACAGAUGACAGCAAUCACGCCAUGAUUAAAUGACAACUUCCUCAGCCACAAUGGUCUCUGAGACUACAUGGAAUGAUGCACAGAAUGGGCUUUCAGUAUUCCGUCCCUGAUAACUGUGCCGGCACCCGACCAACAUCUACGAGCAUGGGCACUAGAAGCACUUGACUGUCACUAUAGUCUCCAGCUCAAAGGAGGGUCUGUAGAACUAGGUCAAAGUACCUUGCUGCCACAUGAGACCAUUGCCUACUGGAGAAGAGAAAUGAGCCACCAUUGGUUGGAACAUAGGAAUAUAUUCCUGCAAAAAUUCAUUGUAUAUAUUUGCUAAAACAAUAUGUAGACAGAAGACAGUAGACAGAAGACUGGAUGAAGAUGCUUGGAUAUGUGUGCUGCGAGGACUGUUUCCUUCUCAUCUGCUUCAAGAUUAUAUCGUCAGAUCAGAGAAGAAAAAGAUGGACGAUGUGGAAACAUUUGGAUUUGGUAGCAUUAGGCUACAAAAAAACUGGCCUGUGGGAGAUCGACACGUGAAUAGCAUUCUUCAGAACAAUACAUAAAGUACUGAAAUCGUGAAUUUGGUAAUUUACAGUAAUUAAUAUGCACACAGAGCAUCAGCAAUGUAACAUCCCCCUUUUGUUAUUGGACUUCAUAUGCAUGUAAAACAUAGGUCAUACAUGUUUUACUCUUUGAGACACCACCCCUAACAUUUUGUUUAACUUUCUAAAACAUAAUACAGUAUGUCAGGAAUUUGGUAAUUUACGGUAUUUAAUAUGCACACACGUUAUCAACGAUGGAAUAUCCCCCUCUUGUUAUUGUGCUCUACAUAUAUGCAAACCCUGAGUUCAAUAAAUGCAGUACUAAUAUGCACACACCGAAUCAACAAUGGAAUAUCCAAUCAUGUUAUUACACUCUACAUGAGCGUAAACUCUGAGACUGGCAGUACUUUUUAAGACAUCAACCCUUAACAUUUUGUUUAACAUUGCUUUCCCUGUUACUGGAUGCUGAGGCUGAUGCUCAGGGUACGACAGAACCAAAAAAAAAAUGUUUACCUUGACAUUCUUUCCUAUUAAGGAUGAUGACACAAAUUCAGAUAUUUUGGGCACUAUAGAAAGAGAUUCCAUCGUAAUAAAAACAAAUUAAGCCCCCCAUACAAAGCCUAGUCUGCUCUUGGAGUGGCCUUGAUGACCUUCAAGUGAUCAACAGUGCGCCACGUAGUCUUACAUGAAGUUUGUUAUAAAAGGGACUUUGUUGCCACAGGCUGAUCAUAAAAGCGACCUUGUGCCACAGGCUGAUCAUAAAAGGGACCUUGUGCCACAGACAUCAUAAAAGGGACCUUGUGCCACAGGCUAAUCAUAAAAGCGACCUUGUGCCACAGGCUGAUCAUAAAAGGGACCUUGUGCCACAGGCUAAUCAUAAAAGCGACCUUGUGCCACAGGCUGAUCAUAAAAGGGACCUUGUGCCACAGACAUCAUAAAAGGGACCUUGUGCCACAGACUAAUCAUAAAAGGGACCUUGUGCCACAGGCUGAUCAUAAGAGGGACCUUGUGCCACAGACUGAUUAUAAAAGGGACCUUGUGCCACAGACUGAUUAUGGUUUACUCUGUGUGACUCAGGUUUCCUCCAUCCAUUAAACUGAUAAUCCUGUGGUAAAACAGGUAACUGUAAUUCUUCAACCUUUUCGCACAUUUGCUAGGUGUUUAUUCAAGCUUGUUCUAAAGGUAUUAUUGUGUGUAGACGGCAGUUUUUCCGUCUUUGUCUGCAGUAGUGCAUCAUUUCCCUCAGACUAACAGAAAGCAGGUCUCUUUGAAUCAUUUGACAAGCAGUAGAAUCAGUUUUAGGCAGUGAAAACAAUCAAUGCAUUUGGAGCAAUACAGUGCUGAUGAUAAGGGGUCAGUUAAGUGCUAAGUGAGGCAAGAGUUUUGGCAAACCCACAUAAACAAUUUGCCCAGAAAGGAGUGCAUGCAACAGUAAUGCUAUAACUGUAAAUGUUAAAUCAUUUAUACAACAGCUGAUUUGCUCCUUAGCAGACUUGUGUGGUUAUUUAUGUUUAUGAUGGUGGACAACCUACUGGUGCCCUGAUAUUCUACAUCAUGCCACAGGAUCACAAAGCAAUCUUAAAUUAAGUCAAAAUUUCAAAUCACUUUAAAAUUGUUAUUUCGUACGUAACAAGUAAAUUCUUGGUAAGUUAUUGUAAAUCAAAUUCCAGGUAAAAUAACGGAAAGGAACAUACCAAGUUUAAAGAUUAAAGGGGGUGGGGGGGUAGGUCAACAACAUAUAUUGAAAAUCAGCUUAUGAGUUUUAGUUUCACUGUAAAUAUGGUAAGUUUGCAUACUGAUUCACAUGUGUUGUCCCCCUUCCCACUGACAUCACAGCAUAUUUAGUUUAGUUCAGAUCCGUGCGAUGAUACAUGAAGUAGAAACUAAAUGCGGAAUAUAUUUCAGAGAAUAUUCUCAUGAAAUUUGUCUUUUUCUACCUUUGUUAGCCAGCAGUGAUUUUUUUAGAAUUGAAGAGGUGUCUGUGGUUACCUGUGGGUAGGGUGACAUGGUGGGGGGAGAGGGCGCACACACACACACACAUCUGUCAUAGCCCUCAUAAUACCUGACUAUUGUCAAGCUGAUGCACCCUCACUGCUCAUUUGUUUGAUAAAGGUACCCACAGUCUCGUCACCUUUUUUGGAACAAUAAGAUUGGUUCUUUCAACAAACAAAGAGGCUGAAAGCCAUCUGAUUCAGGUUUAUUUUUAUCCUCUUUUUUUUGGCUCUGAUUGUUGGGUAUGACAGUGGCUGGAACAUCUGCCUUCACCCUUAUCUCUCUCUGCUUUAUGGGGUUAGUUGCCUCUUGCCCUAAUUAAUACCAAGUAAACACUCACAGAAACGCUCCACUUUCAAAAUAACCUUCCCCAUGCCUCUCCUCACCCCACAAUCCUUACCCUCAAAAAAGUGAAGGUGAAAAGUUUCCCCAAAACCUCUGCCAUAAGGUUUGACAGAUUCAGUCAAGUGACCCGGUGAUUGUAAAACCAAGGUAAACAGUGACUAACUCAGGCAAAAAACAGUGUACUGAAGACAAAUGUCAUUCAGAUUUUUAUUCAACGGAUAAGGUUUUAUGAAGAGACAUGUAAAGGUAGUCAUAUAAAGUGACAUGCUAUUCUUUCUCAGUCUUUUUUUUGUUGUUGUUGUUGUUGCAUGUUUACAAGGUGUUAAUUUCAGCAAAUUUUUUUGAGCACUUUUACAGCAUAUUAACCAUAAAAAAUUAUAUAUUUUGCCAAAUCCUGCCAAGUUAGUCCUUGUAGUAUUAUUCAAAAUUGCAUGUAUAUUUCUCUAGGUUGAGUAACAAAGAGGGUGAAGACUCACCAGGAACAGUUACCAAAUAUGUAUAUAUUUUUCACGCACAUAAUGAAAUUCGACAAAGACCAUUUGUCUAAAACUGUUACAUUUGCUAAAUUUGUGAUGGUGACAGUCUUGAAUGUACAAUGACACACUGGCAUUUGCUUAACAUAUUGAAGGAUAAUUAAAACAGAAAAAAAAAAUUUAAAGCAAAUUUUCUAGCUAAUUUUUGUCGUGACGGUAGAUGGACAAAUGCAUUUUUCAACAAUCAAAGAUGGCAUUCAUGUGCAAUGGGAUAUUACAGACUUUCCCUCAGUCUGUCUGUUUGAUUAUAUGAAUUACAGGCUUUAUUAAUACAGGAUAAUUUCAACCCGGAAAAACAAGUAGGAAAUAAUGUAAAUGCACUUUUCCAUCACUAUGACAAUACUACACCAGAUGUCACUGUUUCAGCCAAUCAAAUUUCUGAUUUCCUUCUCUUUUUUUUUUUUUUUUACAUUCAGCAGGUGCCCUUUGGCAACGAUUAUUUGAUGUCAAUUAGCCUAUUAAUAUGUUUGAUCUCUCUAACAAUGACUCACUCUGGUCACUCUGACCCAGGUUAACACAGUCCUUCUGUCGAUGGAGAGUAGACAAACAUCAGCACUGCAGACAGUACCUGAUAACUCUGUCUCAUCGCUCUCCUUCACACAUACAUGCUCACCAUUACCCUUGUAACAAACAUCAGUGCCUCAAAGGAAAUCUUUUGCAUUUGGAUUUUGAGUAAAUCUCAACUUCAGGAUUUCUAGAAUUUGAAGAUGAUAGAGACCAAAUAAGAGUUUUUAUUGAAUCUGUAUUUUGUAGUCACACUCAU